rnacentral:misc_RNA from 1 species
GUAGGUGAACCUGCGGAAGGAUCAUUAUUGAAUUUCACCUGCUGGGUUGUUGCUGGUUCCUUUGUUGGUUCAUGUGCACGCCUGGCUUCUGAUCUUUUUCCACCUGUGCACUUUUGUAGGACGCUCUGCGUCUUGGUCGUAUGUCUGUAGUCACAUUGAAUUGUGGAUUGGAGUUUGAAGCUAUGUCUUCUCUCUCUGGGACUUCGGCUGAGCAGGGAGCUGUUCUACGUAUUUUAUACACUCUUAAAGU